rnacentral:lncRNA from 1 species
ACUUGUUGGUGCAUCGAUUGAAAUAGAAUAUUUAUCUCCUUCGCCCGCUUGACGGAUGGGACUUGCAGAUGGUUGCUGAUUCCAUCUCAGUGUGUCCAGUACCACUGUAUUUGCAACUGAAAGCCCCGUUUUUGUACCGCCAGAAACAUCAGCUUUCAACCCAGAUUCCUAAGAAUCUGGUUCUCCAAGAAGCCCUUGAUGCCGCGCAGCACACGGGCCCGCCUCCGAGCACAGCCGCGGCUUACCCUUGCCAGCUCUCGGGCACCUUUACGGGAGUUGCCGUGAUCCUGUGUCAGGCGCCCUGGUGAUCAGGGCAGGGGUGACGGGUGGAAGUCGGGCAGCGAUUUAGAAGGGCGGCCAGGCCGUGCUGUGCCAGUAUAAUUAAUGAGAGUCAUCGCUCUGGAAGCCAGAGGAGAGUGGGGGUGGGGAAGGAGGUCUCUCACCAGUAAAUGGCAUUUAAGAAAAAUCGGUGCUUUCAUGGCCCUUUUACUGCACAGACGAGGUUAAGUCAAAGGACCGCUGUAAAGGGCCUUGGGGAACUCUCUGCACGGAGGGGGGUCCCCGAGCCGCCGCCUGGGGAAGCCAGGAGGGUUGAACCCCAGGCUUUCCAGCGGGUCUGAUUUCAACCUUGAAUUGAGCUGCCAGCAGCAGUCCCUUAUACUCCUGGAGUAGGAAAAGGGGUGAGUCCUUAAAAAAACGCCUGUAGUUUGGGUGACCCAGAGACCACCCAAAAAAGGUACUACACUAUAAGACCUGCCCAAAGAAGUGUGAAUCCCAAUCCCAUUGUUUUCCCCAGUUCCCUUGUAACGGGUGAAGGAAGGGGGUGUUAUUUGUUUUGUUUUUCUAUUGACUAUUCGGUAACCAUGGAAGGGUUUGGGUAGCCUGGAGAGGCUGCGUACUACCCACUGUCUAAUCCCUUUGUUAUCAUUCCCUGGGAUAGUCACCGGCGGGGAAAAGUAGUUCUUGUCUGGCUCCCAAACACUUAGCAGUGUGACAAUAUUUUCUUGGU